CAGAAAUAUCAUAGGAGAGGGGCCAGGGGAUAAUUUCUAGAGUAUCAGAAUCACAUUUAAGUUCCUUGAGUGAGGUUUUGGAUUCCAGCGGGGGUUUUCAGUAUCUACUUUUUCCCCGGAAAAGCCAGACUGAUAACUUUGGCACUGCAUGUGAUACAGUCUCCUCUGCUCCACUGGCAAACUGCUUCUAGCAAAUAUGAGUCACUCUGUUGUCCAGGCUGGAGUGCAGUGGUGCGACCCUGGCUCUCUGCAACCUCUCCCUCACGGGUUCAAGCGAUUCUCCUGCCUCAGCCUUCCAGUCUUGCUCCGUCACCCAGGCUGAAGUGCAGUGACGUGAUCUUGGCUCACCGUGACCUCUGCCUCCCAGGCUCAAGCAAUUCUUGUGCCUCAGCCACCUGGGUAGCCGGGAUUACAGGGUUUCGCCAUGUUGGCCAGGCUGGUCUCGAACUCCUGGCCUCAACUGAUUUGCCCACCUCAACCUUUAAAAGUGCUGGGAUUACAGGCACGAACCACUGUAUUCAUUAAGCUUUAAGAGGAGAUGAUAAGACUAAAAUGAAAUGACUCAAAAAAAAAUAAAGGUAUCAUAAACUUUAUUUCA
rnacentral:lncRNA from 13 species